CAGCCGUAAACUAUGCUCGCUAGGUGUCAGGCAUGGCGCGACCGUGUCUGGUGCCGCAGGGAAGCCGUGAAGCGAGCCACCUGGGAAGUACGGCCGCAAGGCUGAACUUAAAGGAAUUGGCGGGGGAGCACCACAACGGGUGGAGCCUGCGGUUUAAUUGGACUCAACGCCGGGAAGCUCACCGGAUAAGACAGCGGAAUGAUUGCCGGGCUGAAGACUCUGCAUGACUAGCUGAGAGGAGGUGCAUGGCGUAGACGUCU
rnacentral:rRNA from 1 species